rnacentral:rRNA from 1 species
UACGUAGGGUGCGAGCGUUGUCCGGAAUUAUUGGGCGUAAAGGGCUCGUAGGCGGUUUGUCGCGUCGGGAGUGAAAACACCGGGCUUAACUCGGUGCUUGCUUUCGAUACGGGCAGGCUAGAGUUCGGUAGGGGAGACUGGAAUUCCUGGUGUAGCGGUGAAAUGCGUAGAUAUCUGGAGGAACACCGGUGGCGAAGGCGGCAUUCUGGACCAUAACUGACACUGAGAGACGAAAGCCAGGGGAGCAAACGGG